UAACAUCACGGGGAAAGCCGUAAUUGUCUCAGGGCCAGUGGCGCAAUGGAUAACGCGUCUGACUACGGAUCAGAAGAUUCCAGGUCUUAUGAGUAGGUGGCUGUCCAAAGGAAGUAGGUGAGUGCUUUACCAACACUGUAAGAGAAGCUAAUUAUCUGGGCUGUGGACCAUCUGUGCUCCUAGCAUCUUCCUCCUGAUGUCAAGCUGGUGGCUGCUCUGUUGGUUGUUAACUAACCCAUCCAUGGCACUUUCCUGUGACUUCUAGAAACAGCAGGUACUAUGAGUCUGCCUAUAUGAGCCAGAGAGAAGCAGAAGCGAAGGAGUGAAAAAGAAAUAGAGCACCUGGGAAAGUCAGAGUUGGUGAAGAAGUCUGUUUUCUGUUCAGCCUCCCUCUGCCCUGCCCUCCAUGCUGAACUCUUGUGCUCAGAAGCAUGUAAGUCACUGACUGGAACGCCUACUGGAUGCAAGCCUUUACUGAGAUGAAAAGAACCUUGGGGCUCCCUGAGACCCUUUUCAGGAGGUGCUUGAGGAUCUCCUACAUGUCUGUGUGAGGCCAAGUUUUCUUUAUUCAACCAAAGCCAUGUAUCACCACAAAAAGAAGAUAAAGGAAUUCACUUGUCUUCUAUUUAAACCAGCGUAACAGUGUUCAUUGUUUUUGCACCACACCCAGUGCUCCAUGUAAUACGUGCCCUCCUUAAUACCCACAACCUGGCUCCCCCAACCUCCCACCCCCCUAAAUAAAAUCUUUUAAAAAUGUAUUAUUUAUGCUAACAUGCAAUGAGCUUUUUUUAAUGAAUUAAUAAAUUCUUUAAAAUUUUCUCAGUUUUAAUUUUUUUUAUUGGGAAAAAAUUCGGCUUAUUCAGUUUAUUUUGAAUGUCUGGAAUAUCAGAUACAUCAUUUCAAUAUAUAAAUAUCCAAUCACAAUUCAAAGUCCAAUUUAGAUUACCUGGAUUUUUCUUUGCUUUUCUCUAACAAUGACAACUAAGACCCUUCUAUAUUUUAUUAGUUUCUUUAUUUUUUUAAAAGAUUUAUUUGACAGAGAUCACAAGUAGGCAGAGAGGCAGGCAGAGAGAGAGAGGGGGAAGUGUGGGGCUCCAUCCCAGGACUCUGGGAUCAGGACCUGAGCCGAAGGCAGAUGCUUAAUAACUGAACCACCCAGGUAUCCCUAUCUUCAACUUUUUCUGAAUAAAAAGUUUCUGUUCUUAAGACAUAGGCUUAAAAUUCAUAUAUUUGAUAUUAGUACAUGGCAUUUUAUCUGUAAUAAGAAGGAGAUCGAAUUUCAAUGAAUACUAGAAAACUAUUCAGCCCUUACUCAUUAUUUACUGUUUUUUCCCCUCUGACAUGAUGCAGAAAGUGCUUUUGGUUCUAUGUCUGCCACCAGGGACUAUGUACUACGUUCACAAACUUGAGAUCUGAUCAAGAACAUAUUCAAGAGGCACCUGGGUGGCUUAGUUGUUAAGCAUCUGCCUUUGGCUCAGGUCAUGAUCCCAGGGUCCUAGAAUCAAGCCCCACAUAGGCUCCCUGUUCAGUAGAAAGCCUGCUUUUCCCUCUCCCACUCCCCCUGCUUGUGUUCCCUCUCUUGCUGUGUCUCUCUCUCUGUCAAAUGAAUAAAUAAAAUCUUUUUUAAAAAGAGCUAAGGGGAAAAAAAUCAUUAUUUUUUUUGAAAAAGAUCAUAUUCAGGAAGAUUUAUUUGAGAGAAAGAGAGAGAGGAGCAGGAGUAGAAGAGAAGGAGGGGCAGAAGCAGACUCCCUGCCGAGGUGGGGCUUGAUUCUAGGAUGCUGAGAUCAGGACCUGAGCCGAAGGCAGACACUUAACUGAGCCACCAACUGAGCCACCCAGGUGCCCCAAGAUCAUACUUAAAUCAAAGCAGGGGCGCCUGAGUGGCUCAGUCGUUAAGUGUCUGCCUUGGGCUCAGGUCAUGAUCCCAGGGUCCUGGGUUCAAACCCCACUUCGGGCUGCCUGCCUGCUUCUCCUUCUCCCAUUCCCUCUGCUUGUUUUCCCUCUCUUGCUGUGAUUCUCUCUGUCAAAUAAAUAAAAUCUUAAAAAAAAAAAAAAAUCAAAGCAGUUGUGACUUAAUGGAACGUGGAUACUAUAUGACUCCACCUUGGCAAAGAGUUACAUUCAAGAAACUCCAUGGGAGCUCUGAAACUUUAUUAGGUACCAGAUAGGAUUUCUAAGUACUUUGCGUGUAAUAAGUCAUUCAAUUAUCACAGCAAACUUCUGAGGUGAGUACUGUGACCAUCCCCAGCUUACAAAUUGGGAAACUAAGUAAGGUGUGGAGAGAGGGGGUAUCUGUUGCAAUGUCACAAAACUUGAAGAGGCCUGGCUUGCAUGAACCCAUACAGUCUGGUUCCAGAACCUGCUGUCCUAAGACCCACUGGUACCUUAGGUCCAGGUAUGUCUUUUCCAAGCAACAUCAUGUUUACUGAUUUCCUUAUCCUGGACUCUGGGAAGAGGAUGCCCCACACAUCAGAUGGACAUCCCUUCCACUAGAAAGUGCUAUCCUCUCAAGUAUAUUGACACAACAGUACAGAUUCUGGGCUCUAGUGAGUGCAGGGAGUUGAAGACACAGAGGACUACUGGCAAACAGAGGUUCUGGGUCUACGAAGCUGGGGCCAGAUCCUGAAGACCUCGCCAGCGUCCUCCUGCCACCCCAUGAGGUUGAUGGACACCUUUCCUGCCACUGCCCCAUCCUAUGCAGGUCCUCCUUUAGAGGCCUUACCAAGUGUCCUAACUGUCCCUCCUCUCAUAUCCCUCUGCCGGGCCAAUUUUUAUGACAAUUCUAAUUUGCUUUUCUUAAGUAUUUUGUAAUUUUCACUUCAUUUUGUCAUUUCUACAAAGAGAGUCCCCAUAGCUUAGCUGUGGAUUCAGGUCCUUGAGGACCUUGUUUUAUGAAGAGAGCUUGCAAUUAGGCCUUGUUCCUGCCCCCAGUGUAGCCCCUCUCUCCAGUAACCUAACUUAUAUCCCCAGUUCAGUGUCUCUUUCAAACAGGUUUAGGGCUAGAAAGAAAACCAGAAUACUUGUGUGAUGGUGAAUUUAUGUGUUUCAACUUGGCUAGCCUAUAGUACCCAGUUAUUUAUUUUUUAAGUAAUUAUUUUAUUUAUUUAUUUGACAGAGACAGCGAGAGAGGGAACACAAGCAGGAAUGGGAGAGGGAGAAGCAGGCCUCCCGCUGACCAGGACUCUGGGACCAACCUGGAUCAAAGGCAGAAGCCCAACACUUAAGCCACCCAGUUAUACAGAGGAAUGCCCUUAUUUUGAAGAAUUGCCUGGUGAAAAAUGAACUGUUGGGAUUUCAUCAAGAUUAAAAUCUUUUGCACAGCAAAGGAAACAGUUAACAAAACCAAAAGACAACUGACAGAAUGGACGAAGAUAUACACAAAUGACAUAUCAGAUAAAGGGCUAGCAUCCAAAAUCUAUAAAGAACUUAUCAAACUCAACACCUAAGAACAAAUAAUCCAAUCAAGAAGACAUGAACAGACAUUUCUGCAAAGAAGAUAUCCAGAUGGCCAACAGACACACGAGAAAGUGCUCCACAUCACUCGGCAUCAGGGAAAUACAAAUCAAAACCACAGUGAGAUACCACCUCACACCAGUCAGAAUGGCUAAAAUUAACAAGUCAGGAAAUGACAGAUGCUGGCGAGGAUGCAGAGGAAGGGGAACCCUCCUACACUGCAAGCUGGUGCAGCCAUCCUGGAAAACAGCAUGGAGGUUCCUCAAAAAGUUGAAAAUAGAGCUACCCUACGAACUAGCAAUCGCACUACUGGGUAUUUACCCUAAAGACACAAAUGUAGUGAUCCAAAGGGGCAUGUGCACCCGAAUGUUUAUAGCAGCAAUAUCCACAAUAGCCAAACUAUGGAAAGAGCCAAGAUGUCCAUCAACAGAUGAAUGGAUAAAGGUGUGGUAUAUAUAUACAAUGGAAUACUUUGCAGCCAUCAAAAGAAAUGAAAUCUUGCCAUUUGCAACGACGUGGAUAGAACUAGAGGGUAUUAUGCUGAGUGAAAAAGUCAAUCAGAGAAAGACAAUUAUCAUAUGAGCUCUCUAAUAUGAGGAAUUGUGGGGGGUAGGGAAGGAAAAAAUAAAACAACAUGGGAUGGGGAGGGAGACAAACCAUUAGAGACUCUAAAUCUCAGGAAACAAACUGAGGGUUACUGGGGAUGGGUGGUUGGAGGGAGAGGGUGGUUGGGUUAUGGACAUUGGGGAGGGUAUGUGCUAUGGUGAGUGCUGUGAAGUGUGUAAGCCUGACGAUUCACAGACCUGUACCCCUGUGGCAAAUAAUACAUUACAUGUUAAAAAAAAGAAAAGAAAAAAAGUUGCCUGCUUAAGUAUUUAAGGAAUGAUAUAUCACAUCUGUAACUUACUAUACACAAUGGCUCUGAAAGAAAAAAGUCUGUAUAACUAUAUAUCAGUUUGUAUGGGAGGAGGGAGAGAGAGAAAAAAAAAAUCAAAAUGUUAAUAAUUGUUGAAUCUGGGUUGCUAAAACUAUGCUGGUGUUUAGUUGCUAAGACUAUACUAGUGUUUUCUUUUAAUUUUUCUGUAAGUUUGAAACUACCCCACUUUUCUGGGGAAAAGAAGAAGUAUAAAACUAAGCAAAAUUGACUAUUUCUGACUUUCUCCAUUAAUCUGUUUGUGAUUUGUGAAUUUCAUAUAGGCCAACAUUUCCUUGUAGAUAAAUGGCAGUAAGUACCAUUUAUAGAAAAAAAUCUAAAUUAUGUUAAAGACCUUAGUUUUUUCUAUGAACCAAUCCAAGACCAUCAUUAUUUAUUGUAGCAGAACACCUCAAGACAGUCUCCCUUGAAAGUAGUUUGAGAGGCACCUGGGUGGCUCAGUUCAAAUCCCACACUGGGUGUAGAGAUUACUUAAAAAUAAAAUCUUAGGCUCAGCUGUAAAGCAUCUGCCUUCAGCUCAGGUCAUGAUCCCAGGGUCCUGGGGACGAAGCCCCACAUCGGGCUCUCUGCUCUGCAGGAAACCUGCUUCUCCCUCUCCCACUGCCCCUGCUUGUGUUCCCUCUCUCACUGUCUCUCUACCAGAUAAAUAAAUAAAAUCUUAAAAAAAAAAAAAAAAAAA